rnacentral:rRNA from 1 species
GACGAACGCUGGCGGCGCGCCUAACACAUGCAAGUCGAACGGAAAUGUAGAGAGCUUGCUCUUUACAUUUUAGUGGCGGACGGGUGAGUAACGCGUGAGUAACCUGCCUUUUUGAGGGGGAUAACGUUUGGAAACGAACGCUAAUACCGCAUAAUAUAUUUAAACGGCAUCGUUUGAAUAUCAAAGGAGUAAUCCGCAAAGAGAUGGACUCGCGUCCAAUUAGCUAGUUGGAGGGGUAAAGGCCCACCAAGGCUUCGAUUGGUAGCCGGACUGAGAGGUUGAACGGCCACAUUGGGACUGAGACACGGCCCAGACUCCUACGGGAGGCAGCAGUGGGGAAUAUUGCACAAUGGGGGAAACCCUGAUGCAGCGACGCCGCGUGAGGGAAGAAGGUUUUCGGAUUGUAAACCUCUGUCUUUGGUGAAGAUAAUGACGGUAGCCAAAGAGGAAGCCACGGCUAACUACGUGCCAGCAGCCGCGGUAAUAC